AUCUCCUGAGUUCAUCUGGUCUAAUGUGUCAUUUUCAUUUAAGGUCAAUAUUUCCUUAUCAAUCUUCUGUUUGGAUGAUCUAACCAGUGAUGAGUAACUUUUCCAAGAGUGGUGGUAAAUUUGCCGUGCCUGUGGGAGGAGUGGUGGAUCUCUCAUAGACCCUAGAAUGCACAGAUUCCUCUGUGUCAUCACUGCUCCAAAGGAACCCUCUUCCUCCUUGCCACAAUGUCAGUGACUCCACUGUUUACAUCAAUCUUCUGUUUUUCUGGCUGUGCUGACUUCUCUGCCUACUCAGACUUUACUGGUUGAAAAAAAAAUCUAGCAGCCUAGAAGAGCAAACCAAAGAGCAAGAAAAGAAAUUUUGUCUCCACAUAGCUUUGUGUCUCUGAUUUUGAAAAUGUUCCCCCUCAGGUAUGGAACAAAGAAAAAAAUGAACAUACAUCAAAUAUGCCAACUUGCUUUGAAAUCUUGUGAUUGCUGAUGAAAGUAAUUCACCUUUAGCUCUUUCUUAUCUACUAUGAAUAAAUUAUAUAGAC
ensembl:lncRNA